rnacentral:rRNA from 1 species
UACGAAGGGGGCUAGCGUUGUUCGGAAUCACUGGGCGUAAAGGGCGCGUAGGCGGCCGAUCAAGUCGGGGGUGAAAGCCUGUGGCUCAACCACAGAAUUGCCUUCGAUACUGUUUGGCUUGAGACCGGAAGAGGUAAGUGGAACUGCGAGUGUAGAGGUGAAAUUCGUAGAUAUUGGGAAGAACACCGGUGGCGAAGGCGGCCAUCUGGACCGCAACUGACGCUGAGGCGCGAAAGCGUGGGGAGCAAACAGG